UGCGUAGGUGGUCUUGUAAGCGUGGGGUGAAAGGCAGUGGCUUAACCAUUGUUAGCCUUGCGAACUGUGAGACUUGAGUGCAGGAGAGGAAAGUGGAAUUCCUAGUGUAGCGGUGAAAUGCGUAGAUAUUAGGAGGAACACCAGUGGCGAAGGCGACUUUCUGGACUGUAACUGACACUGAGGCACGAAAGCGUGGGGAGCAAACA
rnacentral:rRNA from 1 species